GCCCCAUGGCGGAGACUACCAUGCAAGUCGAGCGGUAGAGAGAAGCUUGCUUCUCUUGAGAGCGGCGGACGGGUGUGACCGCCUAGGAAUCUGCCUGGUAGUGGGGGAUAACGCUCGGAAACGGACGCUAAUACCGCAUACGUCCUACGGGAGAAAGCAGGGGACCUUCGGGCCUUGCGCUAUCAGAUGAGCCUAGGUCGGAUUAGCUAGUUGGUGAGGUAAUGGCUCACCAAGGCGACGAUCCGUAACUGGUCUGAGAGGAUGAUCAGUCACACUGGAACUGAGACACGGUCCAGACUCCUACGGGAGGCAGCAGUGGGGAAUAUUGGACAAUGGGCGAAAGCCUGAUCCAGCCAUGCCGCGUGUGUGUAAAAGGUCUUCGGAUUGUAAAGAACUUUUAGUUGGUCGCUAGGGCG
rnacentral:rRNA from 1 species